UGACUAUAUUGUUGCCAACAUCGUCACGGUAAUCCCCCACCGGGCCCACCGGUGAGACACGUGGAAAUCGGGGUGUGACACGCUGAAUAAUGUCAAUCUAGGUUUCUGGUGCCGCACUAGAAUACAAGAAAGUAGAGGUCGAAUACACAGUUAUAAGUCGGAUCAUUUGUAAGUAAUGUAAUAUGAACUGAUGAACUAAAGAAGAAUUAAUUAAACUCGGGAAGUCGUUUGGUAAAGUUAUGAACACUACGUGUAAUGUUGGAGCGAAUAGAAUUCAAGCCUUUAUUGAUUUGUGAGCGUUACUGUUACAUAUUAUGUUGUGUUGCGCCUCCAUAAUGUCUGUGACUCUUUGGCUUAUUGCUUUGUGUGCUAUAUUGUUUAUAGCCUGAACAAAAUCAAGCAAUUGCAACGAUAUCGUGUUAUGCUUCAUCAUCAAAACCGGCUCAUGUACCGGUAAUCAUUGGCUUAUUUAACCACCAGGUAGCUUUGUUUAAUUUUUGUAUUCAACAAUUUUCUAUAAAUUAGUAUGUGGUGUUCUUUGUAUAUAUUCAAUAGUAUAAUGAAGUGAUUGUUUGGCUUCUUAUCUCUGCUCAAAUGGUUUGAUGAAAUUGUUGUUAAUUGCAUCGUGUCUCUGGCCUGUUUAACAUGAUUAGGCAUGUUUCGCCAACCCUAGAAUACACACAUGUUGAGGCUAUAGUAAUCAAGUAAUGGCCAUGUCAGUGGCAAAGCUAUGUAAACCAAUCUGUUCGUUUUCCUUCGCUUUCGUUU
rnacentral:lncRNA from 1 species